rnacentral:rRNA from 1 species
GAUGAACGCUGGCGGCGUGCCUAAUACAUGCAAGUCGAGCGAACGGACGAGAAACUUGCUUCUCUUAUGUUAGCGGCGGACGGGUGAGUAACACGUGUAUAACCUACCUAUAAGACUUGGAGAACUUCGGGAAACCGGAGCUAAUACCGGAUAAUAUUUUGAACCGCAUGGUUCAAAAGUGAAAGACGGUCUUGCUGUCACUUAUAGAUGAUGCCGCGCUGCAUUAGCUAGUUGGUAAGGUAACGGCUUACCAAGGCAACGAUGCAUAGCCGAUCUGAGAGGGUGAUCGGCCACACUGGAACUGAGACACGGUCCAGACUCCUACGGGAGGCAGCAGUAGGGAAUCUUCCGCAAUGGGCGAAAGCCUGACGGAGCAACGCCGCGUGAGUGAUGAAGGUCUUCGGAUCGUAAAACUCUGUUAUUAGGGAAGAACAUAUGUGUAAGUAACUGUGCACAUCUUGACGGUACCUAAUCAGAAAGCCACGGCUAACUACGUG